ACCUGGACGGGGUCGAUGGGUGAUCAAGAAGGCCCAUGACUUAGGUUGGUGACCUCCAUUGCACUGAGGAGGGGUGCCCGCCUAACAUCUCCCCAAGUGGGAGAGUGUACGUCAUAAUUUGUGGCAGCAGGGGGGUACGCGUUCGCGCGGCCCCUACCCAAUUCCCGGGUUUGAAAAUUUCACUUUCUAUCUUGGCAGCAGGGGGGUACGCGUUCUUUAUUUAUGUUCUGUUUCUUUCACAAAAUGAAGCUUCAUUACAUUCAUAAGAAAUACAGACAAUGGUCCAUUCUGUGGAUCUCCUAUUCCAUGAAAAUUGAUGGUUUGAACAUGUGUUGUGAACAAGUUAAAAGGCUUCACAGAUUCAGUGGACUUAAUUUCUCAAGUACGCAUUUGAACAUUGAUAAUUAUGGUUCAUCUUGAGAGAGAAAAAUACUCAGAAAAAAAGACAGGCAAGAGGGUGGUCGAUCAGGGUGGCUGUUUCAUAAAUGAGUAAGGGUUGGAUCGGAGGGAGACGAGGAAGGUCAAAGGUAUUGGGUGAUAAUUGUCUCGGCUUUAGUACCACAUCGGCUGGUGAAAGGAGUCGAAGAGGUAGGAUGAACUAUAAAAAGUGAUAAAAGAAACAGAGAAGAUCAUACCUUUCUCGGCCUUUUGGCUAAGAUCAAGUGUAGUAUCUGUUCUUAUCAGUUUAA